UACGAAGGGGGCUAGCGUUGUUCGGAAUUACUGGGCGUAAAGCGCACGUAGGCGGAUAUUUAAGUCAGGGGUGAAAUCCCAGAGCUCAACUCUGGAACUGCCUUUGAUACUGGGUAUCUUGAGUAUGGAAGAGGUAAGUGGAAUUCCGAGUGUAGAGGUGAAAUUCGUAGAUAUUCGGAGGAACACCAGUGGCGAAGGCGGCUUACUGGUCCAUUACUGACGCUGAGGUGCGAAAGCGUGGGGGGCAAACAGG
rnacentral:rRNA from 1 species